rfam:Stereum hirsutum FP-91666 SS1 unplaced genomic scaffold STEHIscaffold_19, whole genome shotgun sequence.
GCCCGAUUAGCUCAGUGGUAGAGCGCGUCACUCGUAUCAGCGCGCACAUGAUGAGGUCGGUUGUUCGAAUCAGCCAUCGGGCA